GGCCGGUUGGCCCAAUGGCAAGGCGUCUGACUACGAUCACGUAGGGUAUCAGGAGAUUCUGGGUUCGACCCCCAGGCUGGUCA